UAUGCCCUACGGGGGGCAGCAGUGAGGAAUAUUGGUCAAUGGCCGAGAGGCUGAACCAGCCAAGUCGCGUGAGGGAUGACGGCCCUAUGGAUUGUAAACCUCUUUUGCCGAGGAGCAAAAAGCGGUACGUGUACCGCAUCGAGAGUACCCGGAGAAAAAGCAUCGGCUAACUCCGUGCCAGCAGCCGCGGUAAUACGGAGGAUGCGAGCGUUAUCCGGAUUUAUUGGGUUUAAAGGGUGCGCAGGCGGCGAGUUAAGUCAGCGGUAAAAUUUCGGGGCUCAACCCCGACGAGCCGUUGAAACUGG
rnacentral:rRNA from 1 species